GGGGAAAGAAGCGUCUGCGCUGGCAAGCUCUCCCGGCAGCGCCGAGAGCCAGAGCUGCGGUGCUGCUGCGCCGAUGCUCCGUACGUUCGCAGUAGCGGGUAGAGCGGAAGGCUCUGUGGCCAGGGAAGAGCGGCACGGACACGUUCCUGCUCGCUCCGUUGCACCGGAAUUUCGACGGCUGGGUUCGGCCGCUAAAUUGAUGGCGCUACCGGAAGAAAUUUCAGAAAAGCCGCGCUGAGGACGUGGUUGCCCGUCCCUCCCUUGGGGAUGCCGUCGACUGCACCCGCCUCGCCUGUGCCUGGCCUGGCUCGCCUCGUGGCGUGGGGGCGAAAAGGGACAGGCGGCGGAGCGCUUACCGGCCGUGGACAGGAGCUGCCCUAAGGGAAGCUGGAAUGGCCAGAGAAAGGUGAAGAAGAAGAAGAAGAAGAAGAAGAGAUGGAAGGCUCUCCGGCCGGCAGCUGCCUCCCGCUGCAGGCAAGAGAGCGCCUGCCUCGCCGGGCGGAGGACAGCCGAGCGACCGGAGUGACAGCAAAGGAAAGGCGGAGAGCAGGAGAAAGAAGCGUCUGCGCUGGCAAGCUCUCCCGGCAGCGCCGAGAGCCAGAGCUGCGGUGCUGCUGCGCCGAUGCUCCGUACGUUCGCAGUAGCGGGUAGAGCGGAAGGCUCUGUGGCCAGGGAAGAGCGGCACGGACACGUUCCUGCUCGCUCCGUUGCACCGGAAUUUCGACGGCUGGGUUCGGCCGCUAAAUUGAUGGCGCUACCGGAAGAAAUUUCAGAAAAAAAGGGUGGCUUUUUCGUCGAUCUCUUUGUGAGAGUAUCAAAUCAGGCGGCGGUAAAUACGUAGAAGCAGCUGGGCGUACUACGGCGUGUACCGGACAGCGUUGGCGUGCCGCUCUGCUAGCAGCGGAGAGCCAGAUGAGGAUGCCCGUGAUAUGAGAAAAGCUCUGUCCAGAGAUAUGGAGACGAAAUCAGUUGUACCUCACCCUGUGACACCGGAAGACAUUGAGUAACUGUAAGCUGUGAUGCUCAGUGAAAUUACUAAGAGCGUUAAGUUUCCCGUGCCUUUGCUUUCACUCUCCCAUUCUCUUGUCUUGCGGCACGUCGCAUUUGUUGAGGCCGUGGAAGCGACACCGGGAGCGAUGGGUUGUCAGAACCAGGUCCUCCUGCCUGUCGCUGGUUUUGCUUACCUUCGCCGUCUCUGUGUACCAGCCUG